ACAAGCCAUGCGGUGCAGCCAAAAUAAAAAGGAAUAUGCACACAGACUUCGGGCCAGGUCCUGUGCCACAUGUGCCUCCCCUUCCUGACUGUCACCAGCCACUUGUACAAAUGUGAACCCAGGGGCUCAGUCACACAGUCCUUGUCCCAGGGUGCAGAGAGUCAAGAUGGGGCCAGGGCUGGUCCCAGGCAUUCUCUGGUUAAACACUGUGCUCUGAAGCCAGGCUUCCUCUCCGAGCCUCAGCUCCCGUCUGUUCAAUAAGCCUGUAUCAGCCACUGCCCCGUGGACUGGUAUGAAGCCCUUGGGACAGUGGCUGCUACCUGGUAAGCACGAUCGAUGUUCUUACUUUUAUUCUUCUUUCUUUAUAGAAUAAGAAUAAUCACAGCACAAAUACCUUGCAGAGUUGUGGUGAGGAUGAAGAGACAGAACAAAUAUAAAACAUGUACAACCUUGGUACAAUAGACACUGCUCCUUCAUGACAGGACAUUUGAGAGCACCCAGGCCCGACAUACAAGUUAAGAUGUUACUCGAGCAGAAGUCACUGGUUUAUAGAAGGGAACGAGUCCUAUGUUGGCGAGGAAUCCAGAGAGGGCCUGCAAGUUACUACUGGUAAUGUUUUGCUUCUUAACCUGGGGUGUUGAGUCCAAGUAUUUAGCAAUAUUAGGACUAGGACCAAUCAGAACAGUUGCUGGCUAGAAACAAUGGGUGUGUCUAGUUCAGACCUACUGACUAUGAACCUUGAUGCGGAUAUUCAUUGUAUUAUUCUGUGAACUAUUCACAGAUUUUUCUGUUCACUUUUUUGGAUAUAUGUUUCAUAGAAAAGAAUUAAGAGACUGAUUCAUUCUUUAGCUGGAUAGCUUCAGACAGUUUCCAACUGGCUGGUGCCCAGUUUAUAUGAACUAUCAAUGUUUUGAGUGUAACGCCCAGUUGAGUCAGCCCAGCCAGAGCAGGGCUCACAGGACUGGUUUUAGGAUGUGCAUCCUCUCAGACCGGCUGGGGCUUUAACAGAGGCCCAUGCCUUCAGAAGGUGACCUAAAGGACCGACUCCUGGGCCACCCCCUUGGCCAGUUAUCACCUCUCCUGGAUCCAGACCAUUCAUUAAAGCGGCACAGUGACCACUGAGAUCCUGCCCACGAGAGAAAGGCACAGCUGACAGAGGGAGAGAGUCCAGCUAAAGGUGGCUUUCGCUGUUACGUGCAGUCAAAGGAGCCCAUCUAAUGAGGCACAGGACGCAGAAGGAAAGGGCUCACCAGCAAACUUGAUGGCUGUGAUGGAGGAGGAAUGGUCAUCCAGGGUCUGCUCC